GUCUGCAUCUUUGUCAUUCUCCCACCUUCUGGGACAGCAGGUUUUUUGAGGAGUAUUGGGUAUUUAAGAGAUAGAAGAAGUUAAUUUCUGUUUCCUCAUCAAUAUUCACUUGUUAAUGACAGCAAUUACUGCUUGCUUCUAUUUUUUUUAUGGAAAGGGCACAUUUGCUUGAUUUAAUUAGGACCACUUUUUAAGAUAGAACAAGGCAUCUGCACAUAUGUACUCAAGAGUGGUUUUGACAGCAUGGAUAACACCAUUGCAAGUCAAGCUAACAACAAACAAUAGCAAUCUCAGCAAGGAGAGCAGAGGGGAAAUGAAGCCCUGCUCCUAGAGGAUGAGCACCUCAGGAUUCAUUCCAGGCUAAUGUGGUUUGAUGCACCAAGGGCCCCGAAAAAGUCACCUUGAACAUUCCUCGAAAAAUUUCUUUGCCCAAUAAACAACAGGAAGCAGUUUGGAGAAAAACUAUGCAAAUAUUCCCAAAUAUUUUUAUAAAUGUUUCUUUACAUUCAAAAGGGAAUAUGAUAUCGAGAUUUGCAUUGUUAUGGAUCUUGUUCUAUUGAUACAACUCUAAGGUACUGAACACAAACCUAAGCUUUGACAUGCUUCCUAUGAUGUUUUGGGCUUCCUCAGUGCCUUCUAAACCCGUUCCUGUUUUUGCUGUGCUGCUAUGAGACUGUUUUCUGGUCGCUUGUUGACUUCUUGCCUAACUCAAAAUGCAUAGUAUCUCUCUUGUUCUCAUCUGACUCCUCUUUGAAGCUGUGUAAAUUUGAAGAUUGUUGUACCUGAUGGCUUUCUUUUAAAGCCUAAUAAACGGUUCUACACCA